GCUUAGAGCUGUCACCCGGCGGUGCCCCGGGGUUGGAGCGGCGAGUCCUGGGUGAGGGGGAAACGCGUGCCGUCGGACAAGGCCGGGCAGCAGCUCCCUUUCCCUGCACAUUUGGAUAUCGCGAGAGAACUAAUCUCACAGCACAGCAAAGUGGCUCACUGUUAACACGCGAUAACAAGACGGGACGUUUCCUGCCCCUGUCUUGUGACGUCUGUGGAAAAGAGCUUCAUAGUUCACCUGAUUCCUCCUGCAGUCUUGAGAAAGACAAACAGUGCACCCGGAAAGAGGUUUGUGCAGAUAUUUUGCGUAGACGCAGUGAGGGGAGAUCCCCCCGGGCCAGGGCACCUUUUGUUCCUUGCGAGACGACGGUGGGCGGAUUGCGCCAGUCUUGGCACAAGGAAUGUCCCAGGGUCUUUUGUCUUUGAGAAAUGUGAACCUGGUCGCAAUAACCACACUGAUGUGUCGUUCAGGUAACUCUGACAGCAGUGUACAAACAUUACAACGCGCAUGUUCGCCUGGCCAAUUUCAACAACAAACGUCGUUUUUUUUUUAAACAAAGGUACCCCGCUCAGAUCUGAGCACUCUACUCGCAUAACGUGAAUCAUAAGAACGGCUGCGACAUACACAAAAAAGCUUAAAGUCGCCAUGGGGCACCUCUUCCGGCCUCUGCUGAUCAUCACCUGCGUUCCAUGGCUCCUCGGCGUUACGGCUACAACUUAUGCUCAAACUACUGAGUACUCCACCUCUACAACUCCUGCUACAACUCUUG